AGUUUGAUCGGAUCCUUGGCUCGUUCAACAUCUCAAGUCCACUCAUGGAGAUCCAUCCAAAUUCAAAGUGCCUGCAGAAGUGUGGAUAAAAAUAAAGGAAGUUCUUUUAAAGCAUUGGUCAUUAUUAAAUCCAAAGUUAACAUUUAGUGUGCAGGACAUUGUGAGUGCCUUACCGGGAACCAAACCACCAAAAAGAGCAAAAAGUUGUGUUAAUUUUCUUUGGGAAACAAAUUAAAUUGAUUGGAAUGGUGUUGUGCGACAAGGAUCCGGUCAAAUUCACAUCGAAAUUCAGCCUGGAAAAUAAACAAAUCCUCCGCAAAAAAAACUCAACUCUCUAAAUCUCUGAAAAAUCUAUUUUCCUAAUAAGGAAGGAGAUAUUCUUAAGAAGAGUUUGUGUUAAUUUUUCAUAUACAAAAAAAAUUCGAGAAAAUUGGAAAAUACAAAAAAGAGGAAAAAUUGGAAUUGCGCAACCCGGAAGUGUUGACGCAGAAUUUUGUGAAGCACAAAAAUUGGCGCAAAAAUGAGCUAAAAAAAAAAUGAUGAAAAGUGAAUUUUAGCGAAAAUAAAGUUUAAGCACAUUUUAAACGUGUAGCUUGUAAGGAUAGUGAGGACUCAACGAGGAGUUCUCAAAUUAAUAAUUUAAUUUUUCUUAAUAAUUUAAUUUUGGAGCGUCACAGAAUCUUAUCACUUAACGUAUAAUAGUAAAAGAAAAAGAAAAUGGGAAAAUAGUUGCAGAAGAUUCUAACCAAGUCGCCAUCUUGUGUUCACAGUGCUCACAGAAGAGGCAAAGAAAAAAAAGACAAAUGAGAAAAUGCAGGACACACGCAGAGAAAAGUCAAUGAGAAAAUUUGUGAGAAAAAUGGAUCGAUAUGGCGGAACAUCACUUUCUUCGAGGCGUCGUGUAAAGGAGCAAAAACGGAGCAAAAAGGAUGGAAAAUUUUUGCUUAAGAAAAAACCACCCCUCGGCCCAACACAGAAACACACCACCGAAUGUAUCUACAAAUCCGGCGACGUCAAAUACGAGAGAUUCCGGCCCACACAGUGUUAAGGAUGGAAGCAGCAGCAGCAGCAGCAGCAAAAAAAUUCACAAUGGAAUGCAAGAGGAUAUGUCUACACACUAUCCCAAUACUUUCACGCACAGCCAACAUACAUAUUGGCGUUACACAUAAAUCCCCUCAUUAUCCUGAAGGAAGAAAAAUGCGAAUAAAAAGGACCAAAAGCACACACACAUACAGUUGUUGUUCAGGAGGAGGACCCACGGAGGAGAAAAUUCUCACACACACACAGAUGCAAAAAUAAGAAGGAAAUCAUAGUUUCAUAAAUCCCCCCGAAAGAUGAGUGUAUCCUGGAGGAGAGAUGCAGCCAACACCGCCAUCAAUCAAUGUGUGGAAUCAACGUGUGUUAUCAUAGAGAAGCAAAAACAGCCGAAGGAGAAAUUUCCGGAAAAUUCAUUCACCAAUACAUCCACGCAGCAGGAGAAAAUCACACCAAAAGGACAUCGAAGGGGAUGUUUGCCUACCCCUUAUCCUCGGACGCACCAAAGCUCUCGUCGGAAGCUUCACAGCAGCAGCAGCAGCAGCAGCAGUAGGAUUUUCGGGCAUCCACCGCGGAUGCCCUGCUAAGUAUCAUCCUCAAAAGGAUCAUCUUUUUGUUUUUUUUUUUAACUAAACAUGUUUUUUUAUAACCCUAUGUCCUAUCUUUUGUGCUUCAGAGCAGCACUUAGCUUAAGAAACCUUUUUUUAAUGCCACGAAACUUUUUUUUUGUUAGUAUCUUUUCUUUAAGUAAUCUCUUCAUUUCUUCAUUUAAAACCAAAACACAUUUUUUUUUUACAAUAAUUCUUUUCACCAAUGACGCCCACUCAUUCAGGAUUUAUUGAAUUUGACUAGGACACAAAAAAUGCAUGCAAAACCCAAAAAAAAUGAAACAUUUUCAAGGGAAAAAAAUAAACCAUUUCGUGAUUAAUAAAAAAAAAAGUAAUUUGGUGGAAUUGUACCUGAGCAGAGAAGUCAAUCAAAAACAAAAUAAAGAAAAGAAUAAAAAAUUAAAAAUCAGACAAAAUUGAAAAAUUUUCCUCGUGACCUUAUUUUUGGAAAAAAAAAAUAUUCAAAAUUUCAAAAAUAACGCGUCAAACCACAUAGAAAUGAAAGAUUCUCAAAUGAAUUAUAUAAAUAUUUAGUCACAGGCCAAGUUAAGUGAUUGAAAAAAAAACAAUAAUAAAAUAAAAUGCAUGAAGAUUUACAUAUUUUUAUUAUUCCAUCAGUUAGAAAAUACUGACCACAAAUUAUUUGGCAGUGUUUCUCACAAAUGGGGCAAAAAAUAGUAUGGCAAAAAAAACAUUUUUAUGAAAGAAAUAUAAAUUCAGAGAACUUUUCAAUUUGUCUGGAAAAUAAACACGGAAACAAAGCCAAAAUUAUAAAUUAAAAAAUAAAAUAGGAAAAAUUAAGAGAAAAUCCUUAAUCCCUUUCAGUCCAUCAUACGGGAUGAGUCGAGAAAAUAGUAGGAAAAUGAAGUUUAAUAAAAAAAAUCAACCCAAGGAAAUAGCGGAAAAUUUAAUUAUCCAUUCAAUACAAAAUGGUUAAAAAGAACCCAAAAACGGGAGAAAAAUUCAAAAUCCCAAAAUAGCCGCCAAAAAAACGUGAAAUAAUCAUCCUAAUUUAAAACUGAGAUCAAACGAAAUCAUUCCAUGGAACCCACUGGUGCUAAAUAUUUCGAAAGAAAACUUAUUUAAUCAACUUUGAAAGUCUAUUUAACGUAAAAAAAAAAGUAUUUUUAUAGAGAAAAAUUUAUAUUUGUUGUCAUAAAGAAAUAGACAGAGUUUUGUUGUACAAUCGAAGCAAAAAAAAGAAGUAAAAACCAUCCACUUUCUCAAUGGACUCGAAGGGAUUAGGAGAUAUAUAGGAAGAACCUAAAAACCCUUUUCAAUUCCAAAAGAAAGUGAUAAAAUUUCACCUACAAAAAGCGCAAUCAAAAUCAUAAUUUGAAAAAUUAAAAAAAUUCCGCCAAAAUCACUUGGAAAAGUGGUCAGAUUUAAUAAAGUUGAAUAAUAAAAAUAGCUUUUAAGUCAUUUUUUUCAUUUAAAUACGAGUGAUGAUAGCUUUGAAUUUUUGUUCUUAAAUAUUAAAAUAAGCUCAUAAUGCUCAAACUAAUAUUUUUUAAUCUCUUCCAGAAUUUUUUUUAAUGCGUGCGGAUUUUAUUUUAUAGCUUUAAUUGUAUACUCCGAUUGCAUUCUUACGACGAUAAAAAAACAAUUUUCUAAAAGAAAAACUUUUCAAAUAUAAACGAUAAAAAAAAUUGAGAUAUAUCACGGUGAUGUAGUUAGAAAAAUAAUUUGAAAAAAAAUCCAAAAAUCAACUCGAGCUGCAAUUGCAAAAUUAUUCUCAAAAAAUGCAUUCAAAACAGAUUCAAAAUCAGCGUAAAAAAUUCAAAAGUUAAACAAUAAAAAAAACUAUAGAAAGGAUUUUAUUGAAGUUAGUCGUGAAAAAUAAAUUUCAAUGCAAAGAAAUAUUUAGGAAAAUCAAAAGAAAAAGAAGAAAUUGCAGAUUUUUAAGAAAUAAUUAGGUUUUAAAAAACAAAACGUGAAAAAUUAUUGGGCCGUUGGAUAAAAUAGAGGUUUAGCCGUGAUUUUAGGGUCACAGAGCUUGUAUAAAAAAUCCUCUAGGUUACCUUCAGCCUCGCAAGAAGGGAGUUUUUGAAAUUUAUUUAAAAGUAAAAAAAACUCUUUUGACAAAAAACUCAAAAUUAAAUAGCAAAAAACCUAACAACUUUUAAUCAAAAAAUCGUUCAGAAGCCAAGAAAGAAAAAUCAACGUAAAAAAAUAUAUAUUUUGCAACAUUUGAAAGCAAAAAAGAAAAUUUCUGUGAUUUCUUCAUCAAAACUAGAAGGAAAAAAGGUUAAGCCUUUCUUGGACGUUUAAUUGAAAUUGCGUCCCCCAAAAUAAUCGGUUGUCUUCCAUGCGGAAUUUCACAUUAGAUGUCGUAUUUAUAAGUAAAUCCUCCGACAAAUGGAGAUUUUGGCCCAUAUUAUAUAGCUUUUUGGAUAUUUAGAAUGAUGUCUUUUGAUAAAUGCUUCACCGGUUCUCAAUGGUCCCCUAUAACAUAAGUUUUUAGGCACAAAACCAACAAAUUGCGGCUCGAGCCAUCCAUCGAAUUUUCCCAUUUACCACACCGCGAACUUUUGAUGUUCUUGAUUAUCAAUCCUUCUUCCCACAUUUUCUCUUGUCUUCCCAUCACACAAUUUCAAAUAUAACAAUCUGCCCUGGACCACACAUAUGUAGUACACCUCUAAUAAUUACCCCCAAUUCUUCUAUUUUAUCAAAUUCACCCUCAAUGCAUUUUAUCUCUUUCUCUCUCUCCCUGCUAAAAAGAUAUAGAAAUUAAAGGAAAAAACGUUGCACCCCCUCAAAACAUUUCUUGUCUGAUGAAUGUUCUUUGUUGGCGGCGACUUCAGGGUGCUGUGAAAAGCCCACCCCCAUCGGUUUUCCUCAAUCCCCUCUGGCAAAGGGAAAAUCUCUAAUCGAGAAUCUUGAGAUUUCUCGCAUUUGAGCGUGUCUCGGCGAACCCCUUUUGCUGGUGAAAAUUGCACAUACCCACCCCGCAUCCAUGGGCGGAAAUCUGAAAAUUCAAACCUUGAAAUUCAUGCUGAAAUAUCUCGCUUCAUCUCUUCACCGGGACGAUUACGGGGGGUUGGUGGUCUGAAGAAGUAAUUUUGAUAAUACGGAAAUAGAUUUGGACGAAUAGUGUGCUAAAAGGGGUUGGACCAGUCGGUUUCCAACCCCAUCCUUCCGAAAAUACCCAACAAAAUCAUCAUCCAAAAGUGGAUUAAUUUUAAUUAGUCUACGGGAGCUCUCAAAGACAACCCGGUAUGCAAAAAAAAUAAUAAUUUAAAAAGAAAAUUUACAAAAUUAUAUGAAAAAAAAAUAGGACUGGGAUACAAAUUGAAGGAAAAUUCCUUGGAUGUGGGGAAUGUGCAGAGAGGGAUGAAAUUGCUAUAUAUGUAGGUAUCAUGACAAAAUUCAAAAACACUUCCAAAACCACCCAGACAUCCCCUAUAGCAUUGCCAUUGCGCCCCCUGCAAGACUUCCACGCCACGCCGGGAGGAAAGAGGGUGGACUUUGAUUAAUAUUUCACAAUGUAUUUAAUAAAUUGAAGAUUUGUCUGAGGGGGCUGAGGAAUGAGGGUUGGGGGCUGAAGACGCCACUUGAAAAUUUUCCUUGGAGAAACUUGGUGAAAUACCAUCGAUAGUUUUGGCCAUUUUAGUAUUCACAACAUAAAUACAAUUAAGGGAGUCUUGUAUGACCAUCAACCUUUACACACCCCCCAUUUGACCAAAUUUAACUCCCUUUUGCAACCAAAAAGCACUUUCUCUCCGGCAAUGUGUUCAUAUUAGCACCCCCUUUUACGUCUCGGAAGCCACAUCAAAUAUCUCUUCGUUUUCUUGAAGAAAAUUCACAACCCCCAUGCACACAAAAAGAAUGAGGAGGAUGCAACAUAUUUGGAAAUAAAAUAUCAAAAAUUAGAAUUUUAUUUAACCCACAAAAAAAUAUUUAAGGAAAAUUCAUCCCUUUUCUCUCUAUAAUUUUCAAUAAUAAUUAUUUGAUUACUUUGCAAAAAAAUAAAUAAAUCAAAAACCGCGAUAAAAAUCAACCCUAAAAUUUUUUAAAUAGUUCAGAAGCAAGUCAGAAAAUAUUAUCAAAAAAAAUCCGCUGCUAAAACUACAUCACCAAAAUAAAACAACCAGAAAACCACGAAAGAAAUCCCCAGAAGAAAAUAUUUUGGGGAAGCAAAAAGAAAGUUUAAAGAAAAAUAUUUUAAUUGUUCAGAAAACGCGGGACAACCCUUAAAUUCAAUCCCACUAGACUCCCCUCUAUCUGUCUUUUCUGCACCAAAUCUGGAGCCAGGCAGCUGAAGAAAAAAAAAACGUCCCCCUGUCUUAACUUGAGACACAAAACCACCCCCUUUGUGAUUCCAAAGACUCAAAAUGUGUUCUUGUUGGACCCAAAACAUCAUCUUUUUAAGCCCAACCCCAUAGCAGAGACUUAAGUAAACAUAUAGCUAAACCUCAAGAAGGAUUUUCCACAAUUGCGUACAAAUCCUCCCUGAGAAGGAACUUUGAAACAUCAAAAACAUAAAUUAACCCCCAAUAUUUUUUUUUCUACGAAUUUCGCCAUUAGUUUUCCUUUUAAAAUGCCGAAUGGAAAUUUUAAUUUAAAUAUAAAAAAAUAUUAUUUCUUGUACUUUUAAUUAGCUGGCAGAUUUUGGGAUUUGGGGGUGGAAAAAUAAGCAAAAAUGAAAAUUAAUUCAGAAAAAUUAAUUCAAAAACUAUAGACAGAAAAAUUAGUCUUAGAAACAAAAUCAAAUCAAUAGCAAAAAUUCUAACAGAAGAACGUGAAAAAAAAUUGAAAGAAAUAGCCAAAAAAAAUCUGAAAAAAAUAAACUUGAAAAAUUAUUUAGGGGAAUGUUCCGUUUGAGAUUGAAGAAAAAUAAAACCCGAAAAAUUCAAAAUCAAAAUCCGAAAAUUAUAUUGACAGCGCGAUAGCAACGCAGAGCUAGGCCCUUAACGUCUUCAAACGGACAAUUUUGUAGGUGCGUAUUUUGCGAAAAUUUAAUUUUCGUUUUAUUUCUAUUCUAGUUUUUUUAAUAAUUAUUUAUUCCUCUUAUUUUUGAAAGAAUUUUUUUUAAACUUUUUUUUAAUGUAUUUUGAAUUAUUUUCUUCCUCCAAUAGGGAUUGUAAUUUGUUACUUUCUAAACCCAAUUGGCUUUAACAAAUUGGCUAAAAGAAUUGGCAAAAAAAAUUGGCAAUUUUCUUAGAAAUAAAAAAAAACCUAGCAAAAGAAUUUCACUAAAAAGAAUAAAAUUGAAAAAACAACAAUUAAAAAAAAAUAAAUCUCUUGGAGUUAUUUGUGAAGAAAACAAUUCAAAGUACAUUUUAUUUGGGGAAUUUUCAAGGAGAAUUUCCUUGCGUCUGUGAAUUAUUUAUCAUAGUGUCUGUCUUUUGGCCAACAAAGAAAUAGCAAAAAAAAGUAAGAUAAAUGUGUAAAGACCGUAAAAAACCCGACUCAAUAGUGCUAAAACAUUGAUGACCACCCUUCUGUAUCGUUGCCAUCAACAACCCUUUCGACCAACAACAAAUACUUCACAGAAGCGAUAAAUUUUCCUCUAAAAAAUUCUUUUUUUCGUGCUAUUUUUUCAUAAACAUUUUUUUAGUGUAAUUAAUUCUUAAAGAAUUUAUUGACUUAAAGUGUGUUUAAAUUUGCCCUUUGCUAAAAUUCAUUUUAAUGAAGAAACAAAAACAAAUUGGCCAUAAUUUAAUUAAGGGAAAAUUAACACAAACUGUUGCAAGAAUAGAACCAUGCGACAGAGACACAUAAAAAAAAUGAAUGAAAUAGAAAGAAAUAAAAAAAAUCCAGACGAUAGACUUAGAAACAUUGUAUGAGAACAAGAACAAAAGGAAAAAAAAGAAGAAAAGCAUAAAAUGCUAUAAAUUAUAUAGAAUAUAAGCAGUUGAAAUGGAAAUAGCAUCAGAACAAACACACAAAAAACAACCCUCUUCUUUGCAAAAAGAAAACCAUCAAGUACACAUAAAAAAGACGCCAUCAGCCAUCUUCCUUUCAUGUGCAACCCCUCGCAAAAGUAUCUCAAAAUCGCAUUAUUCUCCCUCAUCAAUUUUGCAAGCAAAAGUUCCAUCCCCUUCUCUUUAUUCCAACGACAAUUCCGAGAGAUUUUUUUUUUGUUGUAUUCUUCUGGGCCCAUUUCCGAGGGAUGGCUGCUUUGGCAAGAAAUUCAGCAUCUAACGACCAAAGUUGCGAGAAAAAUCACCCCAUUAAUUGCACAAGAAAAAAAAGCAUCCAAUUGCCAAGAAAAAAAACCAACGCAAAAUCACAUUAAAAAAAAAUAAUAAUAAUGAAGAAAAAAUGGAAAAAGAAGCGCCACAUCAAUUGCAAUAUCUACCCUAAAGUUCCAAUUUAUUUUAUUUAAUAACCCCUUUUUUUAAAAUAAUAUUUUCUAGAUAUUCUUUUUUGUAGUCAUUAAAUAAUUUCUCAAACAACCCCCUCCCCCCCCACUUUAAAUGCAAUCCAAGACGCUUAUAAUGAAGAAUAAAUCGAUAGAAAAACCCUCCAAAAAAUUAAUUUACUUUUUUUUUACAAAGAAUUUUCGUGAAAGGCGCGGGAAUUUUCGUAAUAGUCAAAAAAGAAAGAAUCCUCCACCACGAAAUUAAGGAAAAAAAUGAGAGAAAAAAUCCCGAGAAAACCAAAUCCCAAGCCAAAAAGCCAUUGAAGCAAAAGAUUAAUCCAAAAAAAAGGAGGACAAAGAUGAAAUAAUUAAAUCAUUGAGCAUCUCAUAAUUCAUUGUUUAUGAUAAAACUUGCGACAUUAAUGUUACCCGCAAAAUGCACAAGAUAUGUGGGCAAUAGUUCUUCACUCUUGUGGCUUUUUUUGCACAACCCUCUACCCUUAAAAUGAUGUAUUGUCCCCACAGCCCCACACUCCCUCGUCUUUCGCGAUUCAGUGGAUACAAUUUAUAAUGAAUGAGAAACACUGGCAUUUAAAAUAUUAUAAACUAGCAAAUUGCUUUCUGUUUUCAUUGGAAAAAAUAAUUUAUAUUUUAAUAUUUAUUUAUCUCAAAAUAUCACCCAAAAAAGAGAUUCAGAAAGAAUGAGGGCAGGAAAAUUGAGCGUAACCCCCAUUGCAGCGAGAAAUAUUUAAAAAAAGAAAGAAUAAGAAAAAAAUGUAUAGACUCUGUAUCGAGACACUUUUAGUCAAAAAAAAAACAAAGUUAUAAUGAAAGAAAGAAGAAAAGUAUUGUAGGAAAUAUUUAAUUUUGUAACAUGAUCAAAAAAUGUACCAAGUACGGAAUUUCGUUGAUUGUAAUAAAAAAGAGAAAUGAUAAAUUGUAAUGAAUUUUGUAAUGAAUAAAUUUUUGAAAGGAAUUCAA